UAACGCGUAAAGAACUUGCCUCACAGAUAGGGACAACAUUUGGAAACGAAUGCUAAUACCUGAUAUUAUAAUUUUAGGGCAUCCUAGGAUUAUGAAAGCUAUAUGCGCUGUGAGAGAGCUUUGCGUCCCAUUAGCUAGUUGGAGAGGUAACGGCUCACCAAGGCGAUGAUGGGUAGCCGGCCUGAGAGGGUGAUCGGCCACAAGGGGACUGAGACACGGCCCUU
rnacentral:rRNA from 1 species